rnacentral:rRNA from 1 species
UUGCAAGUUCUCGGGCCAGCAGCCGCGGUAAUUCCAGCUCUCAAGGUGCAUAGAAAUUAUUGCUGCGGGUUAAAAAGCUCGUAGUUGGAUCUGUGCCAUAGGACGGGGUCUACCUUCGGGUACGCACUUCGCUCCUAGGCUUUUUGCUGGUUUUCCCGUCGUAGCCUUCACUGGUUGCGGCGGGUGGCUGGCGAGUUUACUUUGAGAAAAUCAGAGUGCUCAACACAGGCGUAUAGCUUGAAUGAUUGUGCAUGGAAUAAUAGAAAAGGAUUUCGGUCCUCUUUUAUUGGUUUUGUGGACUGAGAUAAUGGUUAACAGGGACAAACGGGGGCAUUCGUAUCGCUGCGUGAGAGGUGAAAUUCUUGGACCGUAGCGAGACGCCCUACUGCGAAAGCAUUUGCCAAGAAUGUCUUCAUUAAUCAAGAACGAAAGUCAGAGGUUCGAAGGCGAUCAGAUACCGCCCUAGUUCUGACCGUAAACGAUGCCAACUAGCGAUCCGCCGGUGGAUUUUUAGCCCUGGUGGGUAGCUUCCCGGAAACGAAAGUCUUCCGGUUCCGGGGGAAGUAUGGUUGCAAAGCUGAAACUUAAAGGAAUUGACGGAAGGGCACCACCCGGAGUGGAGCCUGCGGCUUAAUUUGACUUCAACACGGAGGG